rnacentral:rRNA from 1 species
CCUACGGGAGGCAGCAGUGGGGAAUAUUGGGCAAUGGAGGCAACUCUGACCCAGCAACGCCGCGUGAAUGAUGAAGGUCUUCGGAUUGUAAAGCUCUGUGAUGGGGGAUGAACACAAUGACGGUACCCCAAUAGCAAGCCACGGCUAACUACGUGCCAGCCGCCGCGGUAAUACGUAGGUGGCAAGCGUCAUCCGGAAUGACUGGGCGUAAGGGGUGCGUAGGUGGUUGAGGAAGUUGGCGGUGUAAUUCCGGGGCUCAACCUCGGCGCUACAGCCAAAACUAUUAGACUAGAGUGCAGGAGAGGUAAGUGGAAGUCCUAGUGUAGCGGUGGAAUGCGUAGAUAUUAGGAGGAACAUCAGGGGCGAAGGCGACUUACUGGACUGUAACUGACACUGAGGCACGAAAGCGUGGGGAGCAAACAGGAUUAGAUACCCUAGUAGUC